rnacentral:rRNA from 1 species
UGGGCGUAAGCGCACGCAGGCGGUCUGUCAAGUCAGAUGUGAAAUCCCCGGGCUUAACCUGGGAACUGCAUUUGAAACUGGCAGGCUAGAGUCUUGUAGAGGGGGGUAGAAUUCCAGGUGUAGCGGUGAAAUGCGUAGAGAUCUGGAGGAAUACCGGUGGCGAAGGCGGCCCCCUGGACAAAGACUGACGCUCAGGUGCGAAAGCGUGGGGAGCAAACAGGAUUAGAUACCCUGGUAGUCCACGCCGUAAACGAUGUCGACUUGGAGGUUGUGCCCUUGAGGCGUGGCUUCCGGAGCUAACGCGUUAAGUCAACCGCCUGGGGAGUACGGCCGCAAGGUUAAAACUCAAAUGAAUUGACGGGGGCCCGCACAAGCGGUGGAGCAUGUGGUUUAAUUCGAUGCAACGCGAAGAACCUUACCUGGCCUUGACAUCCACGGAAUUCGGCAAAAAUGCCUUAUUGCCUUCGGGAACCGUGAGACAGGUGCUGCAUGGCUGUCGUCAGCUCGUGUUGUGAAAUGUUGGGUUAAGUCCCGCAACGAGCGCAACCCUUAUCCUUUGUUGCCAGCGAGUAAUGUCGGGAACU